rnacentral:rRNA from 1 species
UACGGAGGGUGCAAGCGUUAUCCGGAUUCACUGGGCUUAAAGGGUGCGUAGGUGGGCUGGUAAGUCAGUGGUGAAAUCCCCGAGCUUAACUUGGGAACUGCCAUUGAUACUAUCAGUCUUGAAUACUGUGGAGGUCAGCAGAAUAUGUCAUGUAGCGGUGAAAUGCUUAGAUAUGACAUAGAAUACCAAUUGCGAAGGCAGCUGGCUACACAAAUAUUGACACUGAGGCACGAAAGCGUGGGGAUCAAACAGG